UCCUGUCUGUAUGCCGCUAAUAAAAUGGUUAAAAAACAUUUAAUACAUGGACUGAUUUUCCAUGAUUUAGCUUAUUUGUAUCAUUUAAAGUGUUUUUUGUCACCAACUGUGUGUGUGUAACGUGAUUCGUGUGCGGAGGAGUGAUCAUAAACGGCAGAGAACAGAUUCGAGGUGAGGCAGGCAGUUUUCUUGCCUCAUGGCAGGGGGCGCUCAUGAUCCCAGACAUUGAUCUUAUGACUCCACGUCUGCAGAGUAAGAAAUAGCGCGGUAGCCAUACAGUAAAUAAGUCGAAUGCAGCGAUAUAUGUUUUCUCCUGUCUUCCGACGUCAACAUGGAUGACUACAUGUCUACACUUAAACAGUUUUCUAAAGUUAAUUUUCAGUUGAAGCAGGAAAUAAUAACUAAAGGAAGACCAACACCGGAGCUGAAAGGUUUGCUUCGAGAAAGAAGGGUACCGCUUCUCUCAAACAGAGUGGAAAAGACUGGCUUUGUGAAUGUCCUGCUAGAAACGGCCUUUUCUGCUUCCCUUGCCUUCUUUCCUCGACGUGUGGCACUGUGUGGACUCAGAUGGGAUUUUGUGGCUUAAAUAAUUUGUAAAAAAAAAACCUCACCAAACAUGAGCGGCCGACCACUCGUACUCAAAACCAGGUCGCACUAGAAACGUUUGGGAUGUCGAGGACAGACUUGGCUUGCAGAAUGGACUUCAUUUAUAAGUAAAGGCAGCGAGACGCAGCUACAGUGCGAAAUAAACAAGAUGCCCGUGGAAUUGAAAAGAAGGACGCCUCUCCUGCUGUGCAUUCAAAUUGCUCUGUGCGUUCUGACAGGCCGCUGUCUCCAGCGCGUCUGGGAUAUCGGCCGUUGUGGAGAUGCUGUUUAUUUGUGUCCGUCCAUUCGGUCUCGGGAUAUCUUCAGAAACACGGAAUUGCCUCGCUUCGAACAGCCUCUAUUAUCCCCGGAAUCGCCGGACGACAGAACAGGCAAGAAAAAUGACCGGCGCGCUCUCCCUAUUCCCCGGAGAAGUCAAGACUGCUGUCCUUGUGAUGCUCAGUGACUCCAGUGUCACUCACAGCCAUGCGCACACGCCCCUGCGUUCCCCACUCCGGUCAUCAGUCACCGUCGGGCCAGAUAGGAGCAGCCAUCAGGCAUUUGAGUGACGACUGGAUCCGUUACCUGAACGCCUGCAUGACAAUGGGCUUUGUGCUUAGAGAGAAGCUGCAACUCCAAAACACACACAGAUGACGCAACGUUCUGGCAGCUGUUCGUUGUUUGCUGUGCAGGUAGCUGUAAACAACUGACGUAAAGAUGCUUCAUGCAGCUCACCUGCCCUGGUAACAUGUAUCUGAAUGCUGUAUACCUGCCUCUACACAAGCAGCAAAACUGUACACCUGUAAUGUUUUGACAUUGAAGACACACACAAGAACUAUAAUAUGUGCACCUCUUGAGCUUUUUCAUUCUUUGUUGCCUUACAACCACGAACCGGAGCAUAUUGUGUUGGGUUUAUGUGCAACAGA